UACUGAUAUUAUUGAUUUUUAUUUCCGUUACUAUAUAGCAGAGAAAAGUUUCAACUUUCCAAAAUAUAAUUUCAGGAAGCCGGACAUUCACAUUUAAUAAAAUCGAUUGCAACGGAUGACUAUUUAACUGACAGGAAUUGUGGGGCUUUGAAUGUUGCUAAAAAUAAUUGUUUCUUUUAUUUGUCGGUAGAAAAAGAAGGCCUGAAAAUUACACCUGACAAUUAUGUUUUUCCUUCUAAGAUAAGAGAUUCUGAUGUCCAAAAACCUAAAGUACAGAUUUCUUCUGUAAAGAAAAUAAGCGAUGAGCAAAUCUACAGCAUAAACAUUGAAACUGAUCAAAUCGCAUUAUUUGUUUGGUUGGAAUCACCAGUCAUAUCAGGAACAUUUUCGGAAAAUGGAUUUUUGAUGGUCAACAAUACAAAAACCGUUUAUUUCAAUAGUGAAGAAGAAUCAAUUUCACCGGAGGAAUUGUCAGAAACGUUGACUUUGACGCACUUGAUGGAUGAACAAUACUUCUAAUCGAUUUCAAGAUCAAAUUUAAAUGUACAAUUCAUCGUAUUUUCAUCUAUUUUUGUUUAUAUUAAAAUGAUAUCAAUAUAAUAUUAAUAUUGAUUAAGAUUCAUAUUUUUUCGCUGUAUAGAACCAUUUAUUCCUCAAUUGAAUUUUUGCUUCUUUAUAUAAUAAUGUAUUGGUAACUUCUAAUCAUUAGCACUGGGGGUUAUAAUUAUUCCGCCCUAUCUUUUGCCUGUAAUGAAAUACAACUAAAAAUAAAGCUUAA